GCCGGGCAUGGUGAUGCAAGCCUGUAAUCCCAGCUACUCAGGAGGCUGAGGCAGGAGAAUUGCUUGAGCUUGGGAGACGGAGGUUGCAGUGAGCCAAGAUUGUGCCACUGCACUCCAGCCUGGGUGACAAAGCGAGAUUCUGUCUCAA
ensembl:misc_RNA Metazoa_SRP Metazoan signal recognition particle RNA